rnacentral:rRNA from 1 species
GACGAACGCUGGCGGCGUGCUUAACACAUGCAAGUCGAACGAUGAACCCGGAGCUUGCUCCGGUGGAUUAGUGGCGAACGGGUGAGUAACACGUGGGUGAUCUGCCCUGCACUUCGGGAUAAGCCUGGGAAACUGGGUCUAAUACCGGAUAGGACCACUGCCUGCAUGGGUGGUGGUGGAAAGCUUUUGCGGUGUGGGAUGGGCCCGCGGCCUAUCAGCUUGUUGGUGGGGUGAUGGCCUACCAAGGCGACGACGGGUAGCCGGCCUGAGAGGGUGACCGGCCACACUGGGACUGAGAUACGGCCCAGACUCCUACGGGAGGCAGCAGUGGGGAAUAUUGCACAAUGGGCGCAAGCCUGAUGCAGCGACGCCGCGUGAGGGAUGACGGCCUUCGGGUUGUAAACCUCUUUCAGCACCGACGAAGCGCAAGUGACGGUAGGUGCAGAAGAAGGACCGGCCAACUACGUGCCAGCAGCCGCCGUAA